GUUAACUAGAUUUGGUUGUGCACAGGUUAUAAAAGCCUAAGGAGAUUUAGAAACCUAGAGAUUCUGGAUUUCUCUUUAAAUGAAUUCAACAACAGCAUCUUUCCUUUUCUUAAUGCUAUUACAUCACUUACAACUCUGUUUCUUCGAGGCAAUAAGAUGGAUGGCCCAUUUCAUAUCGAAGAACUUAAAGAUUUGAAAAACUUGGAACUGCUAGACCUGAGUAGUAACAGACUUAAUGGCUCCAUACCAGUACAAGAGUUAUCUGCUCUGAAGAAGCUGAGGGCUCUGGAUCUAAGUGGCAACGAACUUUCUGGCUCAAUGGAAUUGC